AGGAAUUCAAGAAGCAGAAUCCUGAGAAGUUGAUGAAGAUUACUCAGAGGGUGAUGUCUGUGAUGCUCCUGUUUCCAUCCAGCAGGAAAUUAAACUGUAGGAAAUGUAGCCCUAGGUAGGAAGGAUGAACACUUAGUUUUGUGUACAUUGAAUGUGAGGUAUCCCUGAGGUAUCUAAGGGAAAAAAGUAAUGCAAAGUAAUGUCAGCAAUGUCCUCUGUCAUGCUCAGAAGAUCGAUAUUGCACUUUAUGAAUGACCUCGUUGCCGCUUAACUAAGGAGAGAAAAAGAGAGGUUAGAGGGCUUUCAUUGCACUGGCCUCUUUUCUUUCCCAGAGCCCCUUCUCCAGAGACUUCCCCGACAUCUCACUGACAAGAAAUGAGUCCAGGUCAUAUCCUUCCAGCAACCACUGCCAAUGGUGCCAGCAUAAUUGGUUUGGAGUUUGCAGCCAGGUUUCAGGAGAAAGUGCCCUAAUGAAGAGAGAGAGAGAGUAGAAAGACUUGAAAACUUCCAGAGUUCUUCUAAAGGCUUCCUUUUCAUAGAAUCAUUCAAUUUCAACAGUAACAGAAAGUCAUGGAAACGUGAUCUGAAUGAGUAGCUGAAAAUUGAGUGGUGCCUUAAAACUCCAUUGAAGUUGUGCAUCAGAUAUGGGGUACAACUUGGCCAG
rnacentral:lncRNA from 1 species